AGAUGGAAGAGAUAGAACGAGAAAGGGAGAAAGAGAGACAGAGACAGAUUGAAAGAGAGAUUGAAGAAGAAAGAUGUAAACAGAAGCAAAUAGAGAUGGAAGAGGAAGAAAGAGAGAGGGAGAAAGAGAGACAGAGACAGAUUGAAAGAGAGAUUGAAGAAGAAAGAUGUAAACAGAAGCAAAUAGAGAUGGAAGAGGAAGAAAGAGAAGAAGAGAGACAGAGAGAGAUUGAAAGAGAGCAUGAAGAAGAAGAAAGAAGUAAACAGAAGCAAAUAGAGAUGGAAGAGGAAGAAAGAGAAGAAGAGAGACAGAGAGAGAUGGGUGAGAAAGAGAGACGACAACAACAAGAGGAGAGACAGAAACAAAAGGAGAAGGAGAAAGAAAGGGAGAAAGACAAUGAGAAUCAGAGAGAGAUGGAAUUAAGAGAUCAGCAACAGAAAGAGAUGGAGAGAGAAAAUAUGAUUAUGAGAGAAAGGGAGGAAGCAGGAAGAAGAAAGGAGGGGCAGAAAAAUAUUUUGGGGGAAGUUGAGGGACAGAAUGAACUGGAGAUAGAACAGGAGAGAGAGAUGGAAGAAAAGCAGGAAGUGAUUAAGGAAGCAGAGGAAGAGUACAGGGAAAGAGAAGAGAGAGGAAAGGAAGUAAGCAUGAAGAAACAUGUAGUAGUUAAUGUUAAAGCAAAAGCACGGGAAGUCUUCAAUAGGCGUAAAGAGAGGAGGUUAGAAGUGUUGAAGGGGGAACGAGAACACAUAGAAAGAGGACAACAAAUCAGGAGGGAGAAGGAGGAAAUACGGCUGGAGAUGGAAAGAAAACAGGAGAGGGCAAGACAACAAGAGGAGCAGGAUAGAAAACAAGAGAUUGAAAUUGCUAGACAGAAAGAAAUGUUGAGACUAAGAGAGGAGGAGAGGCAGAGAGAGGAUGAGAGAGAGGAGCAGAGAAAGAAAGCCAUUGAAGGCCAUUUAGCUUUAAUCAGAGAGAGAGAAAAUAUAAUACAGGCAAAAAAAAGAGAGGAGAUGGUGGAAGAGGAAAGAAGGAAGAUCCUUGAGUACAAGAGGGGUGAGUUAGAGGAGGAGGAGAAGGAAGAUGACAAGGAGGACAUUCUCCCACCUGAUAAUAGUAUCCGAAGGAGAGCUGUGGGCUGGGUGAACAAGAAGUGGGAGAAGAGGAACCUCAAAAAGAUAGAGAGAACCUGUCAGAGAGAAGCUGAGGAGGGCCAUAAGAUCGUCCACAUAGUCAUCCCUGGACCCAUAAGGAUAACCAUGACCCGGGCAGAGAGAGAGAGGGAGAAGAGGAAGGAGCUGCUGAAGGCUGAGGAGAGAAGGAAGAAGAUGGAGGAUUUCAAUAAGCAGUGGAGAGAGCGGUCCCUGCUUAAAAAACAGACUCAUGAAAAACUGAAGGAGGAGAGGGAGAGGAUGAAGGAAAACUACCUGGAGCAGAUGAAUCUGGAGGCUGAUGCUCAAAUCAACACCCGGUGUCUAACCACCCAACACAGCCAUGAUUACAACCAUGGUCAGGAGUUGCCCGGAUGGGCCACAGGCCAGCAGGUAAGCCAAGAUCCCACUGGAUCUGCAGAUGGCCACCAGGAAAGGCCAAGGAGGCAACAGGCAUGGGCAGAGAACCAGGAGGGGAGUUCAGAGAACCAGCAGGAGGGGCCAGAGAACCAACAGGAGGGGCCAGACAGGCAGCAGCUAGAUGCUCCAGAAGAGGUUGAAACAUCAGAGCCAACCUCCAAGAACAAGAAAAAGCCAAGCAUCUGGAAGAAAAUUAGGAUGAGUCAACAAGUGAUGAGCCAGAGCAACCAAUCAACGUCACUGCAGCUGUUCUACCCACCCCCCCACCACUGCUCUUCCUCCACCACCAACCUCAUCCUCUUCUCUUGUUCAACUCAUUUGCCGCCAGACUAGAAAGGACUGUACAUACAGUUGAAGUCAGAAGUUUACACACACACCUACCAGGUUGGAGUCAUUAAAACAGAUUUUUUAACCACUCCACAAAUUUCUUGUUAACAAACUAUAGUUUGGACAUCGGUUAGGACAUCUACUUUGUGCAUGAAACAAGUAAUUUUUCCCCCAAAAAUGUACAGACAGAUUAUUUCACUAAUGAUUAACUGUAUCACAAUUUCAGUGGGUC
rnacentral:lncRNA from 13 species